AGGGCCAGAACAGAUCACAUGGUUGUCAUUCAUGCCUACGUCCGUUAAACAGUCGGAGAGUUCUGGAAACCCACAUACGGCAUGUGCUAAUUAUUCAGUAUCACAGCUACUAGUAGGGUCUGGUUUACUUUGACAUCAUUCUAACAGGAUGCUAGAGCACACUUGAGAGCCUUUUGAGGUCUCCAGGGGGCUUACAGCAUGCUGGAAAGACCUACAAGGUCACCAGGGAACCUUAAGGCACACCAGAGGGGACCUGAGAGCAUUCCAGGAGAUUCCAGUUAAAUAGGAUUUUUACAAGGUUACUGAAAGUAAUGGAAUGUUUCCACAGAACGCAAAAGACAGCUAUAAGCGUAUGAGAGAUGCUGCUAACAAUUCAAGGUGGUAUUCAUCCCAUGACAUUGCAUUUGGCAGAUGAUCUAUGACUAUAGGGAUCCUUUGCCCCUACUUAUAGCUCACUCCAACUUUCCCCCUUUCUUCCUACUCUGCAAAUGAAGCACCGCAGAGUGCUGCUUCAUCAUCCUGACAUUUUCCACCAGCUCACUGCAUUGUCAGCCACGGCUACCCAAAUUUGAAAUAUGCUUCUGCUGUUUUUGGGCUCUAUCAAUACACACCAAGGAAAAGAUUAAUCUGGAUUACUGGUUACGACAGUAACACAGUAGAAGUCUGAACUGCCAGAAGCUGCCAUCAGCAGAACAGGAUCCCUUCCUGAAACCAGGACCAGGAAGCAGAUUAUGGUGUACAGAGCAGGUUCAGGCUGGAAGGCAACCACCAUGGUCUACAUGCAAGUUUUCAGGAGCAAAAUCUUGUAAUGGCUUAGUUCUGGAAAGGACUGACUCAAAGGUAUUCCCUUUGUAAUUUGCACUGGGUAAGAAGUAUUAUUGUCACCACCUUUCCAAGUGCCUGAAUGGGUAAGUGGACAAGACUUCAUUUUGCAGCAAGAGCUAUUACAAUGGAAUCUGAGUCUGGCAUUCUUAAGCCCCCUGCUGCUGGUGCUCUCUGAGAGCAGGAAGACAUCAAGGACUUUACAGACUUCUCAUAUCCUCUCCCCAGUUGUUUGUGGAAACGUCUUUCCCUCUACUGAGCUAAGGAAACAGAUGUGCAUUGUGUUGACAACAUGAACAGAACAUGGUUGUAGAAAUGAGCAUAAUUAAUUUCCCUGUUUCCUUCACUGUGUUUCCUACAAAAUUCUAAAACAGUAUAACCUGUUUGACUCCUGAGUACUGAGUCAGGGCUUCAAAAUCUACUAAAAACUCAACAGCUCAUUCAACUCUAAGCUUGUCACUGUAUAUGUAAAGGCAGGA
ensembl:lncRNA